AUGAGUGCAGGCAAGAAAGAAAAUGGGAGAAAACACAAGAAUGUAUUGUUGCAUCCAAUGAGUACCUCAUAUGAACUUGGUGAAGUACACCCUGAACACAAUCAUGAAUUCCCAUUUGUAACAUUUGAGGAAAUUGCACUAGCAACACACAAUUUCUCUGAAACAUGUGUGAUAGGACAAGGAGGCUUUGGCAAAGUUUUCAAGGGAUUGUUAGGUGGUCAAGAAGUUGCCGUCAAGAGGCUGAGUAGGGAUUCUAAACAGGGCACAAAGGAGUUCAAGAAUGAAGUAAUUCUAAUUGCCAAAUUGCAGCAUAGAAACUUGGUUCAACUGCUCGGGUGUUGUGCGGAGGGAGAUGAAAAACUUCUAAUUUAUGAGUAUCUACCUAACAAGAGCUUAGAUGCCACCCUUUUCGAUGAUUCCAGAAAAAUGUUGCUCGAUUGGGAUACGCGGUUUAGUAUAAUCAAAGGAGUUGCAAGGGGACUUCUUUACCUACACCAAGAUUCAAGAUUAACCAUAAUUCACCGGACGAAGAUUCAAGAUUCAAGAUUAACCAUAAUUCCAAGACAACCCAGAUGA
rnacentral:rRNA from 1 species